UGAUGAUGCUGAGUGACAAUGAAUCUCCGACGAAGAUGAUGGCGGUGGUAAGGCACUUUGCCAACGAGCUUUUCCGGUGACGUUCCGUUCCGUUCGGGUGUAGAUUAUCGUCAGCCGCUUGACAUCGGGUGGUGGCGAGCAGCGGCCAGACGAGAACAAAAAAAAAAGGAGCCGACAAACGGCGUCGAGCUCCGGCGAGUUACGGCGUGGCCGACGAUGAAUCGACAGGGGUUACCGAUGACCAGUUUCGGCGGCGCCACCAGUACGACGGCGGUGAUGGUGGUUCUGAGGAUGCUGAUGACGAUGUGGAUGCUAAACAUCACAGUUGAAGUCCAGCAGCCCCGAUGUUCUUGAGUUUGCUCCGAUUUGGUUCGAGUCUCGGUCAAGGCAAGUCAGCGGACAGACUUCGAGUUUCGGGUAAGUGGGAGCGAGAUUGGUUCGACCCGGUUCGGAUGCGGAUCAACAGAGGUCAAGGUGGUUCAGGUCACGGUUCGGUUCGUAUUUGAGAAGGUUCGGGACUGUUAUGGUUCAACUCGACUUGUUUUGGUUCAUGUUUUGUUCUACGCGGUUCAUGCUCAGAUCCGUUUUGGUUCGGGUACUGUUCGGUCAACAAAGUCACACCAGUCAUCAUGGCGCGUUGACUGGUCAAUGCUGGUCAACUCAGUCAAUGACCGGUCAACGGAGUCAGCCGGUUAACAGCAGUCAACACGCAGCCCGGAAUGUCAUAGUUGCACGCUACGCUAGCAAGUUCACAUUCUUGGAGUAACAUCACGGAAUCACGUUAAGCUAGCUUUGCACAGGAAUGUCAAGGUUGCAUUUUUCAAAACUACGGAACGGUUGGAAUAGGAGAACCCACGGG